rnacentral:rRNA from 1 species
CCUACGGGAGGCUGCAGUGGGGAAUAUUGGACAAUGGGGGCAACCCUGAUCCAGCCAUGCCGCGUGUGUGAAGAAGGCCCUCGGGUUGUAAAGCACUUUCAGUGAGGAAGAACGCCUGGUGGUUAAUACCCAUCAGGAAAGACAUCACUCACAGAAGAAGCACCGGCUAACUCCGUGCCAGCAGCCGCGGUAAUACGGGGGGUGCGAGCGUUAAUCGGAAUUACUGGGCGUAAAGCGCGCGUAGGUGGCUUGAUAAGCCGGUUGUGAAAGCCCCGGGCUCAACCUGGGAACGGCAUCCGGAACUGUCAAGCUAGAGUGCAGGAGAGGAAGGUAGAAUUCCCGGUGUAGCGGUGAAAUGCGUAGAGAUCGGGAGGAAUACCAGUGGCGAAGGCGGCCUUCUGGACUGACACUGACACUGAGGUGCGAAAGCGUGGGUAGCAAACAGGAUUAGAUACCCCUGUAGUC